rnacentral:rRNA from 1 species
AUUGAACGCUGGCGGCAUGCCUUACACAUGCAAGUCGAACGGCAGCGCGGACUUCGGUCUGGCGGCGAGUGGCGAACGGGUGAGUAAUACAUCGGAACGUACCCUGUUGUGGGGGAUAGCUAGUCGAAAGAUUAGCUAAUACCGCAUACGACCUGAGGGUGAAAGUGGGGGACCGCAAGGCCUCACGCAGCAGGAGCGGCCGAUGUCUGAUUAGCUAGUUGGUGGGGUAAAGGCCCACCAAGGCGACGAUCAGUAGCUAGUCUGAGAGGACGAUCAGCCACACUGGGACUGAGACACGGCCCAGACUCCUACGGGAGGCAGCAGUGGGGAAUUUUGGACAAUGGGGGCAACCCUGAUCCAGCAAUGCCGCGUGUGUGAAGAAGGCCUUCGGGUUGUAAAGCACUUUUGUCCGGAAAGAAAUCGCGCUGGUUAAUACCUGGCGUGGAUGACGGUACCGGAAGAAUAAGCACCGGCUAACUACGUG